GAAAUUUGGAAGAAAUGUUUAGGACCGUAACUCACCAGAAGUUGAAAAUUCAACAUAAGGCACGUUCACAAGUAACUGAAAUGUCAAUAUCAAAGUUCUCUAUGUUUUCAGGUUAACAGAAAACUCCAUAUUUCAUCUUCUUUUUUUUUAUAAUAAUAAAUUUAAGCUUAAAUUAACCCAAAGAAAGGGAAAAAAAGGGAAAGCAUCACCAAUAGAGACAGCAAUAGGAAUAGUAGACACUGCUCUCAAACAUCACAAGGAAUGUUGAGUGAAGAGCGGUUAACACUAAAUUGAGGAUAGCUUAGGAUUAAGUAAUUUUAUGGCUUCAUUCCAGGUGAAAUGUAAAUAGCAAAUUAAAGUGAUAUUUGAGAAGGCAAACGAAUAGAUGCUUUGUUGCUCAACAUGUGGCGACCUUAUAAAUUUCAAUAUAUUAAUCCAAAUGAGAAUUUUGGCAUUAUUAUUAACAGUUUA